GACGGACGCUGGCGGCGUGCUUAACACAUGCAAGUCGAACGGAAAGGCCCCAGCUUGCUGGGGUACUCGAGUGGCGAACGGGUGAGUAACACGUGGGUGAUCUGCCCUGCACUCUGGGAUAAGCCUGGGAAACUGGGUCUAAUACCGGAUAGGACCGUGCUUUAGUGUGUGCGGUGGAAAGUUUUUCGGUGCAGGAUGAGCCCGCGGCCUAUCAGCUUGUUGGUGGGGUAAUGGCCUACCAAGGCGGCGACGGGUAGCCGGCCUGAGAGGGUGUACGGCCACAUUGGGACUGAGACACGGCCCAGACUCCUACGGGAGGCAGCAGUGGGGAAUAUUGCACAAUGGGCGCAAGCCUGAUGCAGCGACGCCGCGUGGGGGAUGACGGCCUUCGGGUUGUAAACCCCUUUCGGCAGGGACGAAGCUUUUGUGACGGGACCUGCAUAAGAAGCACCGGCUAACUACGU
rnacentral:rRNA from 1 species